GGAGCCUUGAGCUCCACAGAGCCCCGCUUUCCGCCCGCCGCUAAGCUUUCGCCUUGAGGCGUCCGAGCCGCUCGGGUUUGGCCGAGCGUGGUGGCUGCAGUAGCGUAGGAGGCCGCCAUCCUGCCACCAGGGCAUCGUUGCUGCCUGCCACGGCCCUCCAGGAUUUCAGUUACUGAUGUUACAAACAAUAAAAUAUUGGAGCAUAGAAUUAAGGAAAAAACAUAAACUAGUUAAAAAUAUGGAUCCUGAGUCAAAGGGCCUACACAUGAUCAGAGUGACACCUCUUCAGCAAAUGCUUGCCUCUUGUACGGGAGCCAUAUUGACAUCACUAAUGGUGACUCCCCUGGAUGUUGUUAAAAUUCGACUCCAAGCCCAGAACAACCUGUUCCCCAAAGGAAAAUGUUUUGUGUAUAGUAAUGGACUCAUGGAUCAUAUGUGUGUCUGUGAAGAGGGGGGCAACAAAGCGUGGUUUAAGAAGCCAGGAAACUUCCAGGGAACACUGGAUGCCUUUUUAAAAAUCAUUCGAAAUGAGGGCAUUAAGUCCCUGUGGAGUGGCCUUCCUCCUACUCUAGUGAUGGCAGUUCCUGCCACUGUUAUUUAUUUUACCUGCUAUGAUCAAUUAACUACUGUUCUGAGAUCCAAAUUAGGAGAAAAUGAAACUCGAAUACCAAUUAUUGCUGGAAUUAUGGCCAGAUUUGGUGCAGUAACUGUGAUAAGUCCAUUAGAAUUGAUUAGAACCAAGAUGCAGUCUAAGAAGUUUUCUUACAAGGAACUACAUCAAUUUGUCAGCAAGAAAGUAUCAGAAGAUGGCUGGAUUUCCCUUUGGAAGGGCUGGGCUCCUACUGUUCUUAGAGAUGUGCCUUUCUCAGCAAUGUACUGGUAUAACUAUGAAAUUUUAAAGAAGUGGUUAUGUGAGAAAUCUGGUUUAUAUGAACCAACUUUUAUGAUCAACUUUACUUCAGGGGCAUUGUCUGGUUCUUUUGCAGCUGUUGCAACUUUGCCAUUUGAUGUGGUGAAAACACAAAAGCAGACACAACUUUGGACACAUGAAAAUCAUAAAAUUUCUAUGCCUUUGCAUAUGUCAACCUGGGUUAUAAUGAAGAACAUUGUUGCUAAAAAUGGAUUUUCUGGAUUAUUUGCAGGUAAAAACAUCUGUUUUACUAAUCAUUGAAUAGAAUGAUUAGUUUUAAAUCGAUCAUCUUGUAAAAUUAACUUUCAGAAGAAAAUUACAGGUCUGAUUCCUCGUUUAAUUAAAAUUGCUCCUGCUUGUGCCAUUAUGAUCAGUACAUAUGAAUUUGGAAAGGCUUUUUUCCACAGACAAAAUCUUCAAAGACAGCAGUUCUAGUGAUGCAUUUUGAGCCUAAAAUAAGAACCUCAAGUUGGAGACUCUUAGGCAAGAGCUUUUCCACUCUUACUCUCUUAAAAUGAUUUUAUGUCUCUCUUUCCUAUAGUUUAAAUGAACAGCAAUUUCUAUUCUACCUCUAAAUCAUAAUCUUAGUUUUAAAAUAAAAAUUUUCUUAUUUUGGAGAUUUAAAAAAUAUUCCAGAAAUCACGAUCAUUUCAUUUUCUGGUUAAAAGAAAUAGUCCUUAGUACCAAGAGCACUGAAUUUGAUUUCAGUGUAACUUAGUCUCUCAGAUAAAAAAAAUUUUUGAAUUGUGCUUUAUAAUGUCUAGAAGAAAAAUGUUCAGACAUUUAAAUCAUAGACGUAGGUACUUCAGGAAAGGAGAUAAUAGAAGGCAAUCAUUUAAUAGCACUUGUCACAUUUGUUGAAUAUUACCUCAUAAUUUCUUUGAUUCACAUGCAUUGGUUUUUCCUUCCACGUUACUGUUUCAAGGACUCGUGUGGAUCGCAAUUCUCUGAUGAAAGGUAUAUGUAUUUUAUUUGUAUGAUACAAAAUAUAAUCAUUUGUGUGAGAUAGAUCUUAACAUUUUUGGUGAAUAAAAAACCAGUAUUUAUUGUUCCUGUUAAGAAAGGGAAGUUUUAUUGUAGUUAAUGUUCAGUCAGACAUGGACCUGAUGUGGAAACCACACUGCAAUUACACUGUGAAAAUAAAUACUUUGCACAGAAACAGCCUCGGGAUUCUAGCCAACUUAUGAUGCAAGUGAUAUCCUUCAGAGAAUUCUUUAGGUCAUUCUAUUGAUUUUUUUCUAACAGUAUGGAAAUCAUUACAGGUUAAAGUUCUCUAAUCUGAAAACCUAAAAUCUGAAAUGCUUCAAAACCUGAAGCUUUUUUAAUAUUUACACCAUAAGUGGAAAAUUCUAUACUUGACCUCAUCUGAUAAGGGUUACAGUCAAAAUGCAGGCACACUAAAUAAUUUGCAUUAAAUUAUCAUAUAUAUAUAAGAGGUUUAUGAAACCAUCAGUGAAUUUUGUAUUUAGACUUGCAUCCCUUCCCUAAGAUUUCAUUAUAUAUAUGCAAAUAUUACAAAAUCUGAAAAAAUGGAAAUUGAAACAUUUUUGGUCCCAAGAAUUUUGGAUAAGAAAUACUGAAUCUAUGAUAAAGGUCACAAAAUAUUUUCAAAAUCUCUUCUCGUUUUUACAGUACCUCACAUUAAUAUGACAGGCCAAGAGACUAAACAAGAAGCUGUUUUCUUCAAGAAAUUAUACAUGAUUAAAGAAUUUAGCUUAAAACAAUAUGUAGAAAUGGGAUUUUUAAAAGUAUCUGAUUGGCUUGGGGAUGUAAGUCAGUCAGUGGUAGAGUGUUUGCCUAGCAUGAGCAAGGCCUUUGGAUCAAUCCCUAGCCCUGUGCCCCGCCCCCCCAAAAAAGGGCAGGAUGAGAUAUGGUAUUCUUUUUUAAUAUUUUUGCCUGAUUUUUACAGAAUCUAACUUAUAUAAAAAAGAACUUUAUUUAGUUUAUAUUUUAUGAAAACAUGAAGCAUUUCCCUCUCUAAAAUAUAGUGAUAUAUUUCAGAUCUUCUCUAGUGUUGGUAGGGGAAUUAAUGCAUUUUUGUAUUGUAGUAGAAAAGUAUUUAUAUGUUUCAUCAGAAAUAAACUAUAGAAUUUGUACAUAACCGUUUAUGUUUAUUUUAUCCUGUGUUGAUUUACCUUAAAUUUACAAUAUACAUAUCUAUAUAAAUUUAAAUAUUCAUGACUUUGUUAUAUUUUUAUUAAAGUAUUUUAUGCUUAAAAUUAUCACUGUGCUUGUAAUUAAAUGGUUUUCAAUAAAAUUAUUAUAUAAUGCCAUAGUCUAUAUAAGUGAAAAUUUAUUUUGAAUACUGCUAUGUGACAUUAUUAAAUUUACCUUUGUUUUGCUAUGCUUUUUUCAACAAUUUAUUGAUAUUAAAAGGAAGAAAUAGUAUUGUGUCCUCAAAGUUAUGUAUUUCAACUAAAUGUUACUUAUGAAUGUCAAAAAGGUUUCUGUUUCCCAAACCCCAGUAUUAAACUUGAAGAAAAUUCUUAAUUAUAAA